rnacentral:tRNA from 1 species
GCUAUACCUGGCAUCUGGUGCACGCACAUAACCCUGGUCUUGCUAUACCGGGCUCGGG